rnacentral:rRNA from 1 species
AUACGUAGGGAGCGAGCGUUGUUCGGAAUCAUUGGGCGUAAAGGGCGUGCAGGCGGUCCUGCAAGUCCGGCGUGAAAGACCCCGGCCCAACCGGGGGGACGCGCUGGAAACUGCAGGGCUUGAGUACAGGAGGGGAUGCCGGAAUUCCAGGUGUAGGGGUGAAAUCUGUAGAUAUCUGGAAGAACACCAAUGGCGAAGGCAGGCAUCUGGCCAUGUACUGACGCUGAGACGCGAAGGUGCGGGGAGCAAACAGGUUUAGAUACCCUGGUAGUCCGCACAGUAAACGAUGUGCACCAGGUGGCGGGGGGUCGACCCCCGGUACCGUAGCUAACGCAUUAAGUGCACCGCCUGGGGAGUAUGCUCGCAAGGGUGAAACUCAAAUGAAUUGACGGGG